rnacentral:tRNA from 1 species
GCCUGGGAGGCUGAGUCGGUUCAGCGUCUGACUUCGACUCAGGUCAUGAUCUCGCGGUUUGUGAGUUUGAGUCUCGCAUCAGGCU